UGUAAGCGUAUACCAAAGUUGUUGCAGUUAAAACGCUCGUAGUCGGAAUUUGGCAGUUCCGGAUGUGUGCACGUCGUGUGCGCACUUCGCGGGGAUUGCUUUUGUGGUCUUGCGUAGGAUGAGGCACUUUUAUUAGUGAACGUCCUCACGCAACCACUUUUUACUGUGAGAAAAUCAGAGUGCUCAAAGCAGGCAUUUGCCGUGAAUGUAUUAGCAUGGAAUAAUAGAAUAGGACUUGGUUCUAUUUUGUUGGUUUGUUGGGACUGAGUAAUGAUUAAGAGGGACAGUUGGGGGCAUUUGUAUUUCGGUGCAAGAGGUGAAAUUCUUAGAUUACCGAAAGACAAACUGCUGCGAAAGCGUCUGCCAAGGAUGUUUUCAUUGA
rnacentral:rRNA from 1 species